GGGUCACGAAGUUAUGCCAUGGUC
rnacentral:siRNA from 1 species